AGCUGAGUGAGUAGAAGUGACUCCCCAGAUAGAAGUUGUAGCGCCACCGGUCCGGGUUCGAGUCCCGGUAAGAUAUGUAAGAGCAUGGCCACCAGCAGAGUAUCACUUCCCUGAACACGGACGCACAGGAAUCAGAGACAGCAAUGAAAAUAUGAUGUAACCAAAGGAUCUACCAUAGGAAAACUCUAAAGUCAAAUCGAAGGAAGGCAAAGUCAAUAAUAAAUUCUGUAAAUAGUAACCCCAUAAAAUUAAGCAUAAAGUUAAACUAAUACGAUGUACUCGGAGGAUAUACCAUAGCAACCCCAUAGAAUUAAGCAUAAAGUGAACCUAGUGAAAAUGAAACGAUGUGCAGAGUUGGAACCAGAGAAAACAAUAAUAAAAUCUGUAAAUAGUACCCUCAUAGAAUUAAGUAAAAAGUGAAUCUAAUACAAAUAAUACGAUGUACACUACACGGAGGAUCUACCAUUGGAACACGGAGACAGGAAUCAGAGACAGCAAUGACAAGAUGAUGCAACCAGAGGAUCUCACCAUAAGAAAAGUAAAAGAAAAAUCAAAGAAAGCAAAACCAAUAAUAAAAUCUGUAAAUAGUAACCUUAUAGAAUUAAGUAAAAAGUGAAUCUAAUGCAAAUAAUACGAUGUACACUACACGGAGGAUCUACCAUUGGAACACAAAGACAGGAAUCAGAGACAGCAAUGACAAGAUGAUGCAACCAGAGGAUCUCACCAUAAGAAAAGUAAAAGAAAAAUCAAAGAAAGCAAUAAUAAAAAC